AUGGAGCUUUAGACACACAGGUGGACCAUGUCAAACACCCCCAGCUAAGGGCCUGAACUAAAUGGAACCUGCCUUGAUGUCUUCGGUUGGGGCGACCAUGGGGAAUACAAAACCCCCACGUGGAAAGGGAGCACACCCCUAAGUUACUUCUUCUCCCGCAAGCCAGAGCAACAGCUCUAACAAGCAGAAAUUCUGACCAAACUGAUCCGGUAAAACCGAUCAACGAACCA
rnacentral:rRNA from 1 species